rnacentral:rRNA from 1 species
CACGUAGGGUGCGAGCGUUGUCCGGAUUUACUGGGCGUAAAGAGCGCGCAGGCGGUCGAGUAAGUCGAAUGUGAAAGCCCCCGGCUUAACUGGGGAGGGUCAUUCGAUACUGUUCGACUUGAAGGCAGGAGAGGGCAGCAGAAUUCCCGGUGUAGUGGUGAAAUGCGUAGAUAUCGGGAGGAACACCAGUGGCGAAGGCGACUACCUGGCCUGUUUCUUGACGCUGAGGCGCGGAAGCUAGGGGAGCAAACGGG